GGAAGGAGAAGUCGUAACAAGGUUACCGUAGAUGAACCUACGGUAGGAUCAUUG
rnacentral:rRNA from 1 species